rnacentral:lncRNA from 1 species
AAAUGUUUAUUACAACUUAUUACAAGCCAGAAUAAUAAAGUACAUCAGAAAAUUACAAAGAAAAGUACAACCAGAGGAAUUCUGAUUCUUGACUUCCAUUCUGAGUUAUGAGAUAGACCAACUCAAAGACCAUUGAUCCAAAUCCUUUCUCCAAUUUGGAUGUGUCAGACUUCCCUAAGAGCCUCAAUGGGGUUCCGGGCAGUGGUCACACCCAAAUUGUAUCACCAGAAUAGGGAUACGUGCAGUAUGGAAGUGCCAACCUUGAAGUAUCCAAGUUCAGAGGGAGCUCAUGGGUCCCAAGGCAAGGCUUAAAGAGGGGGGAAAUGCAAGUGAAGAAACAGAGUUUUGAGGAAAUAAAGGAGAGGGAAAUGGGUGUUGGGAAAUCGUAAAGGGCUUAUGUACUUAGGCAAGGAUUAGCUGUGGGCAUGCACAACAAUAGAAGAUGCUGGCAUCCUUAUAAGCCCACAAGAACACACUAUACUAAAGAAAAUAGAGGUUAUGAUCCCAUGGAUCAAGUUUGAGUCAUGGACAUCAAUGCUCAAUACUAUCAUGCCUCAAACAAACCAUCGAUAUCAAACAAAUCGGGGUAGGGGAUUAGGAUACUUACUACAUAGAUUCUGAAUAGAAGAAAGAAAUUAAAACAUGCUAGAAUAAAGUACUGCAUUAAACACAAGUAGUAAGCAGACAAGAAGGUAAAAGCAUUAAGUAAACAUAUUGUUGUGAUGCUUAAAUUUUAAUUAGAAUAUACCAUUUCAGAAAAGAAAAAUAAAAUAAAGGCAAGGUAGAAGGAUUUUGAAAUAUAGCUUUGGCUUUCAGCAAGCUAAAUAGGCCACAGUAGAAGUAGUAAAGGGGGAGAGAAAGUUUUGAGUGUAAGUGAUAUUAGAACUAAGAGUGUUCGUGUUUUUGCUAAUGAAAGAGUGAGGUACCUAUAGUUUGAAAACAGGUAGAAAAUAAGGCAAGAUCUAUAGUUUAGUAGUAAUUAUAGAACUAUGUAUCUAUUAAAAUCAAAUCAGUAUAAGUACUUCCUUUAAUUAAUGAGUUAAAUCAACGAACGGUAAUGGGCAGAAAACAUUUAAGGAAAGAAAUCAAGUAGAGCAUCAUAUAUAGAAUAGAUAAUUAGUGGUAGGUACAUAGAGGUCCAAUUAAUGAAACAACUAAUGAAGAAUCAGUAAAAAUAAUUGGUUAACCAAAUAAGGUAGGAAACACAAUAGAUUUGAAAAAUAUGGAGACAAUCAGCUCCCAAUAAAUCAGGGAGUCAAUGGUUUGAAAUUACUGAUUUAAGGAGAAUCACACGGGUCCGAAGCAUAAGCAAAUAAACCGAGUUAAAAAUAAGAGAAUCGAAGUCUAAGGAAGGUUUUCAAAUCAGGCCCAGAAACAAGGAGCUUAGAAUCAAUGAAAGAGAGAACCAUGAGUCCUGUUUUGGCAUAUAAAUAGAAUGCACAAACAUGAGGCAUGUGAUGCUAAACUAUGGCAAAGAGAAGCAACAUGUGAUAACAAUCACAAAGUCAGUAGACAGUGAAAUAUGGUAGUCACUAAGGUCAACAUAGUAAUAGAGAAAAAGGGUAUCAGAAUCAUGCAAAAGGUCAAGUAAAAAGGCCCUUAUAAAAAUUAUAUUCUAGUUUCAAUGGUUGCAAAAAACCAAAUCACAUAGAAAAAUAGAAGUUGAAACAAAAAGAACUUUGAAUCCAAUCGAGCAAUUUCAAAUAGAUGAAGCCAUUUUCAGAAACUCGAAUAGGCCCAAAGAAAUUAGGGCUUUGAACCAAUCAAAUUUAGAGAUGAUGAACAAGUAAAUCAUACAGCAGAUAGUCUCAGAACUUGAUGGAACCAAAAUUUAAGGGUUUUCAACAUAAAUCGAGUCUAGAGAUGGAAAUUAAGUAAAUCAGACAAAUACUAACACAAAAUAUAUUCGAAAAUCUCAAAAGAAACUAAGACUCCUGACAUGCAAACUCCAGUAAAGAACGACAUAAGGAAACACAACAGAACAUGUUAAAAAUAAAAAAAGCUUCAAAAUAACUUAAUGAAAACCAAAAUCGGAAAAGAUAAAUAGGUUUCAAAGGUAGAGUUUGAAAGAAACCUUGAGAAAAACAUUUAGAAGUUUAGAGCAAACACAGAUCUAAAUAGACCUAAAAGAAAUCUAAAGAACCUUAAAGGUUAGGGUUUCAGGAAAACCCCAGAUGAUGAGAAAGGCUUGGAAAAUCAUCGAUCUAAGCAGGAGAAAUAAAGAAUCAGUCUUGAAUAGCCAUGGCUGGUCGGAGCAAAGUUAAAGAUGACCAAAGACAGCCAUAGAACUGAAAUCAGCCAAGGUCUGGACCAAACUUUUCAAGGAUUCAGCCUUGAAACCAUGAUACUUGAACACAUAGAAGCCUAGGGAGGUGGAUACAGGCCUCCAAUGGCUUUGGAAGCCAUUGAUUUCGGCGAUUUUAGGGUGGUAGUUGAGGGCGGCGGCUAUGGUUUGUGAGAGGAUUGAGAAAGAAGGGGAUUCAGAGGUGGCUGUAGGUGAGAAAAUU